GGCCUGGUGGUCUAGUAGUAUGAUUCCUUCUUAGGGUUCGUGCUGAUUGCGAGAGGUCCCGGGUUCAAUUCCCGGUCAGGCCC